CGCCCGCACGUGUUGUUGUCGACCUUUCAGUCUUCGGCGCUGAGCGAGGCGGGAUGACCACCAAGCGACGCAACAACGGGCGCUCCAAGCACGGGCGUGGGCACACUAAGCCCGUCCGCUGCACCAACUGUGGCCGCUGCGUGCCCAAGGACAAGGCCAUCAAGAAGUUCCAGAUCAGGAACAUCGUGGAGGCCGCUGCCGUCAAGGACAUCAACGAGGCAUCCGUAUAUGCUGUGUACCAGCUCCCCAAGUUGUACAUCAAGCAACAUUACUGUGUGUCAUGCGCCAUUCACUCCAAGGUCGUGAGGAACAGGAGCCGUAAGGCCAGGAAGAUCCGUACACCUCCCCCACGCUUCCCACGCACACAGAUGCCCCCGAACAAAUAGUGAAGCAGGACUGCACCUCCCGGUCCAUGCUGGGGCCCCAACCUCCCCUCUAUCACGGCUAUGACACACGACCACAGAACUGAAGAGAUAGAGAGAGAGAGAACCACAGCGAGGGGGGGUAGCGCGCCAACACCUGCGGUCCGUGUACGUGUGUAUGUACGUGUGUGGCUGCCUCGGUCUGUCGUGUAUGUCCGAGGUACACACACACAUACGCACACACGCAGCGACGAUGAUGGACUGAUUGGCUGAAUAAAGGUGUUGAUGGUG